rnacentral:rRNA from 1 species
UACAGAGGUCUCAAGCGUUGUUCGGAUUCAUUGGGCGUAAAGGGUGCGUAGGCGGCGCGGUAAGUCGGGUGUGAAAUCUCGGAGCUUAACUCCGAAACUGCAUUCGAUACUGCCGUGCUUGAGGACUGGAGAGGAGACUGGAAUUCACGGUGUAGCAGUGAAAUGCGUAGAUAUCGUGAGGAAGACCAGUGGCGAAGGCGGGUCUCUGGACAGUUCCUGACGCUGAGGCGCGAAGGCCAGGGGAGCAAACGGG